rnacentral:rRNA from 1 species
UCGACGAUGAACCACUUCGGUGGGGAUUAGUGGCGAACGGGUGAGUAACACGUGGGCAAUCUGCCCUGCACUCUGGGACAAGCCCUGGAAACGGGGUCUAAUACCGGAUACUGAUCCGUCUGGGCAUCCAGACGGUUCGAAAGCUCCGGCGGUGCAGGAUGAGCCCGCGGCCUAUCAGCUUGUUGGUGAGGUAGUGGCUCACCAAGGCGACGACGGGUAGCCGGCCUGAGAGGGCGACCGGCCACACUGGGACUGAGACACGGCCCAGACUCCUACGGGAGGCAGCAGUGGGGAAUAUUGCACAAUGGGCGAAAGCCUGAUGCAGCGACGCCGCGUGAGGGAUGACGGCCUUCGGGUUGUAAACCUCUUUCAGCAGGGAAGAAGCGAAAGUGACGGUACCUGCAGAAGAAGCGCCGGCUAACUACGUGCCAGCAGCCGCGGUAAUACGUAGGGCGCGAGCGUUGUCCGGAAUUAUUGGGCGUAAAGAGCUCGUAGGCGGCUUGUCACGUCGGUUGUGAAAGCCCGGGGCUUAACCCCGGGUCUGCAGUCGAUACGGGCAGGCUAGAGUUCGGUAGGGGAGAUCGGAAUUCCUGGUGUAGCGGUGAAAUGCGCAGAUAUCAGGAGGAACACCGGUGGCGAAGGCGGAUCUCUGGGCCGAUACUGACGCUGAGGAGCGAAAGCGUGGGGAGCGAACAGGAUUAGAUACC